GAGAGAGGAAGGGCGGCUUCCGGCAGCAAUGCUGAGGAAAGUCCCCUCACCAUCUGGACCGCGGACGCACGCAAGUGCGUAGGGUGAGAAUCCUGGCUCUGGAACAGAAACGAUACCGCAGCACAGUAAUGCGAUGAACUUGAAAGAGCGAGAUCAUGUGUAUUGAAAAUCCGCUAGGAUUUUCAAAGCGGAUGGAACGGCGAAUCCACGCGGGUGCAAGCCGAAAUAGGACAAAAAGGGCAGUCCAGACCUGUCCGAGUCCGGCGCAUAGCUGAAUGUCGCAUAAGCGCUACAGGGGUUUUACUCCUGCGCUAAACAUAAAGGGGCUUACUCUCCUCACUC
rnacentral:RNase_P_RNA from 1 species